GGGAAGGUAGCUCAGUGGUAGAGUACUUGCCUUGCAUGCAUGAGGCCCUGGGUUUGAUUCCUCAGCACCA
rnacentral:tRNA from 1 species